AAAAAGGGUUAAAGGGGAAGGUCGGGAGCACCGACAUGCUUUUGAUGCAUCUAAAUGAAGAAAAUAAAGCUUAAAAGAAAAACAUAUAUUAAGAUGAAUUCAUUAAUAACUUUCAUAUAUGCAUACGUAUAUGUAUUACUUUAUUCUGCAAAUACCCAUAUAAGUUUUGGUUUAUUUCAUAAAGGAGGUAAUGAAACAAAGAUGAAAGAAAGAGAGGGGGAGGGGGGAAAAGCUAUGGUAAUCUCAUCAUGCAUGAUUCAUAAAUUGGCCACAUAAGAUAAAAGCAUUAUACAGACAGCAAAAU
rnacentral:lncRNA from 1 species